rnacentral:rRNA from 1 species
GAUGAACGCUAGCGGCAGGCCUAACACAUGCAAGUCGAGGGGCAGCACAGAAACAGCAAUGUUUUGGUGGCGACCGGCGGACGGGUGCGUAACGCGUAUGCAGCCUACCUUUAACAGGGGGAUAACGGCGAGAAAUUUCCACUAAUACCCCAUAACAUCGAUCAAGGCAUCUUGAUUGGUCGAAGACUCAGGUGGUUAAAGAUGGGCAUGCGUUGUAUUAGGUAGUUGGUGAGGUAAUGGCUCACCAAGCCUACGAUACAUAGGGGGACUGAGAGGUUAGCCCCCCACUCUGGUACUGAGACACGGACCAGACUCCUACGGGAGGCAGCAGUGAGGAAUAUUGGUCAAUGGGGGCAACCCUGAACCAGCCAUGCCGCGUGCAGGAAGACGGCUCUAUGAGUUGUAAACUGCUUUUAAACAGGGAUAAAGCACAGUAUGUAUACUGUGUUGAAGGUACUGUAAGAAUAAGGAUCGGCUAACUCCGUGCCAGCCGCCGCAGUAA